rnacentral:lncRNA from 1 species
GACUUUCUGUUUCCCUUUCAUGGCCUGAGCCCACUUGUGGGCAGAAGGGCUCCUUCCCCAAGGCCGGGAGGCCGGAGACCAGGUCCCGGACGCGGUUCUUUGGGCUCCCACUUAGCCUCCCUUUCUCCCGCGUUGCGCGCCCGCUGCCCGCUGUCACCGCCCACCCGACCCAUUUCGAGGCCACGGACUCGAAAGUUAUUCGAACAGAACAGCCGGCGUGAGCCUGGCAGGCCUUUGGUGCAUUUUCUUUAUUUCAUUUUAUUUUUUCUCUUUUGAGACGGAGUCUCACCCUGUCGCCCAGGCUGGAGUGCAUUGGCUCGAUCUCGACUCACUGCAACCUCCGCCUCCCAGGUUCAAGCCAUCCUUCCGCCUCAGCCUCCCGAGUAGCUGGGAGUACAGGCGUGUGCCAUCAUACCCGGCUAAAUUUUUUGUAUUUAUUUUUAGAUACAGGGGCUCCCCCCUAUGUUGCCCAGGCUGGUCUCGAACUCCUGAGCUCAAGCGAUCCUCUAGCCUCGGCCUCCCACAGUGCGGGGAUUCCAGACAGAGCCACCAGGCCCAGGCCUGGUGUGUUUUCUUAAAGUGACUCCCUUGACCUUCUAGUCUCCGAAUCCCAGAACGGUAACCAGACGUCGUCCACCCCCACUUCCAGCUCUUUCUGGCAUUUUCAGACCCCUACCAGGGCUCUCUGUGAGGGGAAAGAACUGGAGUUGAUGUUCACUUGAGACGUGCUACCAGGGGCAUUUAAUGGCUCACUCGUGCAUUCCACCUGGGCUGUGAUGUGACUUCAGGGACGCUUGGCCGCGCCGGAAUUAGCGAGUGGCAGCAGGAGGGUGAGGUCAUGGUGAAAAUCCCCUACACCGGACACUGUGAUGUAGGCUCUUCCCAACAAGGAAGCAGAUACACAAACACAACGAGGAAUGGGAGCACGCAAAUUUUAGCUUUCCUGCCAGAUUACAGAGGAUAUGACCCGUCCAGGGACUUUUUUUCUGUCCUAACAGCAGAUUCAGGCCAGGACACCUGAAAGGAGGCCAGGAGACAAGCCACAAGUGACAGCUGUGGGUUGGCAGAGAAACUGCUUAACCGGGACCCCCGAGAGCCGACCUCUUCAUUCUUAGUAUUUAGUUUCAAGUGGAAAAAGCCACUUUGGUCUGUCCCUGUUUUGGGCAAUGCAACGUAGCUUUGGGCUCCUGUGGCUCAGAAACUUCGUAUGUAUAAGGGAGCGGAGGUAAGAGGUCAGCAUUCCAAGAAACUCCCGAACAGGUUUAAAUUUUAAAAUCGGUACUAAUCAGUUACUCCCUGGGGUUGGGUUAAUGACCGAGAAGCCUCGACUCAGUAGAUUGGCUGCAGUAAACAAUGCCUGUAGUAGGAUUAUCUCCUGUGGCUCUGGCAAGCCCAGAGGGUGGACAACCUACAAUAUACAAGUAGAGUAGGCUCACCUCCAAUAUCUGUGGAUUGAUAAGAGUCAGAAUCACUGAGCAGUGCUGUCAGGCAAAAUAUAUGGUAAAAGCCUGCCCUGGAUGGAGAAUUUUUCCAUCAUCUCAUCUAGUGUUUGGGAGGCCCUGUUCUCUAACCAUGCAAGGACUCGCCUCUCCCAGGAUUGGGGCAUAGAACCUGUCCCCGAGCACUGUUUCUGCAUUGACCCCAGGUGCUAAUCUGAACUCCAACAAAGAGGAGAGAAACUUGUAAGUUAGGUAGUUAACAUCUUUUUUCAGAAGUGUGUGUAAUAUAAUGGAAAACCAAGAAUGCCUAGGAGGCAGGAAGGUAUUCCUGCCCAGCCAGUUCAUGUCGUGACAUGCAGAGCAGCAGAGAAAGCUGUUUAAAGCCCUGCGUGUAAGCUUGCCUUGGAACAAACUUGGCUCACAUCAAGUCUGGCUGUUCUAGUCAGUGUAGUUUUUAAAAAGAGACCUCUUUGACCUGAAAGUCAAAUGAAGGAAGAAGAAGAAGAAGGAGGAAGGAGGAAGGAAGAAAGAAAGAAAAAGAAGGCCGGGCACAGUAGCUCAUGCCUGUAAUCCCAGCACUUUGGGAGGCUGAUGCAGGCAGAUGACUUGAGCCCAGGAGUUCGAGACCAGCCUGGCCAACAUGGCGAAACUUCAUCUCUACUAAAAAUACAAAAAUUAGUGGGGAGUGGUGGUGGGCGCUUGUAGUCCCAGCUACUCGGGAGGCUGAGGCAGGAGAAUUGCUUGAACGUGGGAGGCGGAGGUUGCAGUGAGCCGAGAUCAGGCCACUGCACUCCAGCAUGGGUGACAGAGUGAGACUCUCUGUCUCAAAA